GGGCCCGUAGCUCAGCGGUGAGAGCAGGGGACUCAUAAUCCCUUGGUCGGGGGUUCGAAUCCCUCCGGGCCUA
rnacentral:tRNA from 3 species